AGUUAUCGUUCAUACGAUGACGAAAUAUUUACUUUGCUCCAUCAGUGAAACGCUGCACCGCAUCAGUAUUACUGCUGAUCGUCUUCGUACUAAACGUGCUGACUCACUACAGUAUGAAAGGUUUGUCCUAAAUAUACAAAACCAAAUAAGAUGCCAGCCCAGUCACUUUUCUGUACGUAGUCACUGUCGAAAAACACUUUAGUGUGAGUUAACGUUUUGGCAGCCAUGUUGGAGGUUUACAGUUCUUUUUACAAAAGCCUGUUGCAUCUCUUAAAACAAAAAUUCAGGUAUAUUGCAACUUGGGAUUUUAAAUUCCGUAAUGUUAUCCUUCAUUUCUGUCAGCUACUAUAACAUUGCACUCGCCAAAAUAAUAGCUCACGGCGCUACAACAAAGUCUGACAGGACAAGAAACAGUUGUUUUUUUUUGGGGGGGGCAUUUCUGCCUUUUUUCGAUAGGAAAGCGGAGACAUGAAAGGGGGAGAGAGAGGGGGGAAGACAUGCAGGAAAACCGUCACAGGUCAGAUUCGAACCCUGGACCUUCUGCGUCGAGGAAUAAACCUCUGCACACGUGCGCCCACUCUACCAACUGAGCUAACCAGCCACAAGAAACGAAAAAGAGGUUUUUCUGUAAGGUGUCCUUAAGUGCUAUGAAAGGCGCCCAUAAAUAAAAUGUAUUAUUAUUAUUAUUAUUAUUAAACAUGAACAGUCAGUAGAUCGGACAAACCCGUCCGUCCAGAUGAUCUAAACCACUUUAUUUGGAGGUAAAACAAAGUGAGCACACACCCAAUCUGUUGGUAAUAUCCCAGAAAAAGAAGCUUUACCCAGGCUUUUUUCUAAUUAUUUAGAUAUGCAUUUACAUAACCAGCCUUUUUAAAUGUUUAUGCAUGUACUACAUGUUCGCCCUGUGACAGUAUUAAACAAGUGAAUCUCUCGUUAGUGUGUUCCACAUCAAUUGAUGAGCUCUGGAUUGUUUUUAAUGUGAGUGUUGCACCCAAAGGUGGCUUCUGUGAUUUCUCUAUGGUGCAUUAUUAAGAUUUUAUGAUUGUCAUCGCAUUCUUUGGGAAAAUGUUUAAAAAUACCCCACACGGUAACAUCUUGUUUCAUGCACCAGCUUUAUCUCCUCCAUACCAAAAAGGGAUUCUCAUUUCAGUGCCCACAGGAAAUAAUUAUGAUGCAGUAACAGAAGGUAGGAGAGCGAUUCUUUUCUAGUUGGCGUUUGCCAUUUCACCACAUUAAUGAAUGAACAGAAUUUUUUGGAUCCCACGGACGCUGGAGCCAUUUCAGAAUCAUUUCCAAGUUAAAUAUUUUCAAAACAUGAUACCAUGGCAACAUUUAAACUUUAUCAAUGUAAAGAUAUAUUUUCCCCCUCCAAACCAUUUCUUUGAAAAAAUGCCCUCUGACGAGAUGGACAUCAUGCACUAGUGUUUGUAAAAGUACAGGAAGUAAAUCAGGACUUUAAUAUAGAAAAUGCAAAACAAAGGCACACAGAUCUGUAAAUGUGUGACUUCAUAUUGGGAUGUAUACCAAAAUCUCAAUUUCUGCAUUUUUAAAGCUAAAGUUCUGAUUUUAUUUCCAUUAAAAGGAUGGAAGUGAAACAGAUAUUUGCUGCGGGUUGUUAACGUGUUGAAGAGAUGCUGUCGGGGGAAAUAAUGCCAAAUAGAUUCUGGAUAGAACUGGAUGUAAGCUGGAUAAGAACUCGUCAGUCAGCACACAUUUCUUAUCAUUUUCAUGUGUAUGUUAAUCAAAAGUGAAGACUGACGCAAUGGUUAAAGGAGGACCUUCAAGUCUAAACUCAAGAAGGUCUCAUGAAUGUCAACCAUGUGUGUAAUUUGUGGAAACCACAACUGGAAAAGGCAGCACGUUUCACUUUGCCCCUAAAAAGUGAACCAGGAGGGGACACAUCAGCUGGAAGAAAAGCUGCCAUUCAUCUGUGGGUUUUUGUUGUUAAAAAGUUGUACAAAGUGAAUGAUUUUGCAGAAUCUGGGGCCAUGUACAUUUUACCUCGCCCUUUGUAGAAAUCACAUUUUAUAACAUGUGCAAAAGGUCCCUUUUAGAUGUGGUGAAGGUUCUGUACAGCGACCAGAUCUCCAGGACUGUUUAACUGUAAAUAAAAUCACUUACACUCAU